GCCGCCUUAGCUCAGAGGUGAGAGCAACGGUUUCGUAAACCGUAGGUCCGGGGUUCGAAUCCCCGAGGCGGCU
rnacentral:tRNA from 1 species